CCCCCGCCCCGUGUGCACUCACCCGGGUCAGCGCUGCCUGCACUGGGCUGUGCACAGCUAGUAACAACCCCCUGCCCCGUGUGCACUCACCCGGGUCAGCGCUGCCUGCACUGAGCUGUGCACAGGUAGUAACAACCCCCCGCCCCGUGUGCACUCACCCGGGUCAGCGCUGCCUGCACUGAGCUGUGCACAGGUAGUAACAACCCCCUGCCCCGUGUGCACUCACCCGGGUCAGCGCUGCCUGCACUGGGCUGUGCACAGGUAGUAACAACCACCCGCCCCGUGUGCACUCACCCGGGUCAGCGCUGCCUGCACUGAGCUGUGCACAGACGUUAUCAUUCUCCUGCAGG